rnacentral:rRNA from 1 species
UAGUGGCGGAAGGGUUAGUAAUACAUAGAUAAUCUGCCCUCAACUUGGGAAUAACGGUUGGAAACGAUCGCUAAUACCGAAUUUGUAGUGUAAUUAGGCAUCUAAUAUAUAUUAAAGAAGGGGAUCUUCGGACCUUUCGGUUGAGGAAGAGUUUAUGCGAUAUCAGCUUGUUGGUGGGGUAAAAGCCCACCAAGGCGAUGACGUCUAGGCGGAUUGAGAGAUUGACCGCCAACACUGGGACUGAGA